GUGCUAGGAUUACAGGCGUGAGCCACCGUGCCGGGCCUGAUUUUCUUCUUUUCUGUCAUGCUGGGCACCUUUCAAUAAGGUAAUUAAUUCACGUCUUUAGGGUCUUGGAUUAUUUCAUUGGCAAUUCUCUGCUUUAGUUUUCUGGAACUCCCCUGGGCCUGGCCCCUAAUUACCAUAUCCUUUUAUUCCUGUUUUCCAUCUCUUUGCCUUACAGUCUGCUGGGAGGCUUUCUUAACUUAAUUUUCCUAAUUCCAUUAAAUGUUUCAUUUCACAUGUGUUAUCUUUUUUUGUUUUUUGUUUUUGUAUCAUUUCAAUUUUUUAUUUUUAAUUGUGGUGAAAUACACAUAAUGUUUACCAUCUUAACCAUUUUUAAGCAUACAAUUCAGUAGAGUAUGUUCACAUCGUUGUAUAGCCAAUCUCCAGAACUUUUUCGUUUUUCAAAGCUGAAGCUCUGCACCGAUUGAACACCAACGCCCUACCCCCCUUCCCCCAGCCACUGGCAGCCGCCAUUCUACUUCCUGUCGCUGUGAAUCUGACUGCUCUAGGAACCUCAUUGGCGCAUGUCUGGCGGCUGUUGUGCUGGAGGGUGCAAGAUAAACGUGGAAGUGUGUGAAAGGCAAGGCCUAGAGUCCUGUGGCUGUCAAACCCUGCUUCUAAAAAGGCUCCUGCAGAAACAUCAGUUGGAAGAACAGUUUCUGUAGCUCUUUAUCUCCAAACCACUAGUAUAAUCUAGCCGCUCCAUUGAGAGAUGAGGAAAUUAAAGGCCAGAAAAAUCGAGUCAUUUUCCUGAAGUCACAGUCACGCACCGCCUCAGUGACCAGGAAGGAGCAGGCCGCGGUUUGGGCCGGCUUUCUCCUCUUCAGAGGAGUGUGCAUUUUGGUUUGCCGGGGCUCCACGCAAUCCCAGCUGCGGCGCAGCAGGUCCCGGCUGAGGGCGCCGCGGGCUCUGGAGACACGGCCACGCGACCCGCUGCGUGCCUUGAGGACUCCUCUUGCUCAAGCCGCCAGCUGGGGUGAGAUGGCUUGUCGCACGGAACGGCCUCGUUCGCGAAGACGCGGGCUGCGAGAACCCACCGACGACGUGAUGUGAGGACUCACUGCAGAAGAAAGACACAGACUGUGUCAGCUGAGUCCCCAGAGCCCACGGGCCGCACGGCAGCUCCACACCCGCGGCUCACGCAGUCCUGCCGCCCGGCCUUGCGAGCGGCCGGCCCUGCGGGCGGGGGCCACGCCGCCUCAGGUUUGUGGGUCCGCACCUGCACAGCGACCUCCGGAAAGGCCCACGGCUGUAAUCACAGAUGAAGGAGCCGCGGCUUAGACUCCGCUCCCGGCCGGGAGAGGGCCAUCAGCGCGGCGGCUCGUGAGGCCUAAGGCCCGGCUGGGAAGAGCACGGUGUUGACGGGUUCCUGAGCCCGGAAAGUGGGUGACCGCUCGAUCCUAGGGCUUCCUUUAUAAUUGAAAAUUCACCUGGAAGACUACACAAGAGCAGCCAGGGAAGUUUUGAGAGAGGAGGACGCAGGCGGGCCGGCCUACGGGUGCGGGCGCGUGCAGGGAGAAGGCCGGCGCCGGCGCCAGCGGGGCUCCUGCGGCUCACAUUUGGGAGUAUCGGUGACAUUUCACUGGCUAGGUUGAGUGAAGUCCACAUUUUUUAAAUCUUAAAAGACAGGUAAAGUUGUCAGACUGACUGGGAGAUGAUGCGCCACUAAAGCCUUAAGAAGGCAACGGAGCGAGCACAGCGGCCCUUGGGACGCCGGGGGCAGCUCCACGGGCGCCCAGGCCGCCUGCUUGGGACGAAGGGCUGGGAUCCUCUGCCGCAGAGACGCAUCCCCUGUCCCAGACGCAAAAGCAGCGAGUUGGGUGUUCCGGCCGCCUGCAGCGGCAUAGCGAGCCAUCCCAAACGCAGCGUGAGAGUAGCAGCGAGGUCUGUUUUGCCCGCAGAUCUGCGGUCCGGGCAGGCCGAGUCUGCCGGCUGCGCCUGCCGUGGUGAAGGCCCGCAGGGAGUCCCAAGAGCCCUGGGCAGAGACUGCACGGCUUCUUGUGAAUGGCCUUGGAAGUCCCAGGCGCUCCCUCCAGACUCAGGAGGAGAAUUAGACCCCACUCUCAAGUGGAGGAUUUCAGAGAGUCUCCUCGGGAUCUGUUCAGCACAGAAUCACAUAAUUACCGGAAUUCUCUUUAAUUCACAUGACCUUGGAAUCUACAUUGGCUUAUUUUUUUCUAUGUGUGAUGUCAUUAAUAUUUUUAAUAACGUGUGUUAUUUUAACCUCAUUGUAAAAGUAAUAGCUGCUUGUGGUAGAAAAUGGAAAUACAUACACACAGAGAUGAAAAAGAAUUAAAUGGCCUCUCACUUAAUUUGGUUCCUUUUUGGAUCAUGAAUCUAUUCAUUUCUUUCUAUCCUUCCCAGAUUUCUUCGACCAAGUUAGCGAAAAUGUAGAAAAGUAUAGGUUCGACUAGAGGACCAACUCUAGGUCAACGUUUACCAAAUAAUUAGUGGAAAACAACAAGUAUCUAGAAGUUAUUGCAUAUAGCAAAUCCAGCAAAAACCAGAACAUCAGAGUUUAACCAUGAGCUUCAGAGGAAUUAGAUUAGAAAACUGAGUAAUAGAUUAUUUUUGUAAAAAAUUUUACAAAAAAGUGUACUCAGCCUAAUUGAUAGAAAACUCUAGUUUCUCAUUGUGAACAAUGAUGGGACAAUCCUUAUAGGUGUGUCCUGACUAUUCCUCUACAACAGGUAAUCUGUGAUAUUACUGAUCACAUCAUAUUUUCAUUUUUUAAAAAAAUGCUUUUUUUAUUUAUUUAUUUAUUUUAUUUCGGCAUAUU